AGAGUUUGAUCCUGGCUCAGGAUGAACGCUGACAGAAUGCUUAACACAUGCAAGUCUACUUGAUCCUUCGGGUGAUGGUGGCGGACGGGUGAGUAACGCGUAAAGAACUUGCCCUGCAGUCUGGGACAACAUUUGGAAACGAAUGCUAAUACCGGAUAUUAUGUGAGUUUCGCAUGAAAUUCAUAUGAAAGCUAUAUGCGCUGCAGGAGAGCUUUGCGUCCUAUUAGCUAGUUGGUGAGGUAACGGCUCACCAAGGCGAUGAUAGGUAGCCGGCCUGAGAGGGUGAACGGCCACAAGGGGACUGAGACACGGCCCUUACUCCUACGGGAGGCAGCAGUGGGGAAUAUUGGACAAUGGACCAAAAGUCUGAUCCAGCAAUUCUGUGUGCACGAUGAAGUUUUUCGGAAUGUAAAGUGCUUUCAGUUGGGACGAAGUAAGUGACGGUACCAACAGAAGAAGCGACGGCUAAAUACGUGCCAGCAGCCGCGGUAAUACGUAUGUCGCAAGCGUUAUCCGGAUUUAUUGGGCGUAAAGCGCGUCUAGGCGGUUUGGUAAGUCUGAUGUGAAAAUGCGGGGCUCAACUCCGUAUUGCGUUGGAAACUGCCAAACUAGAGUACUGGAGAGGUGGGCGGAACUACAAGUGUAGAGGUGAAAUUCGUAGAUAUUUGUAGGAAUGCCGAUGGGGAAGCCAGCCCACUGGACAGAUACUGACGCUAAAGCGCGAAAGCGUGGGUAGCAAACAGGAUUAGAUACCCUGGUAGUCCACGCCGUAAACGAUGAUUACUAGGUGUUGGUGGGUAUGACCCAUCGGUGCCGCAGCAAACGCAAUAAGUAAUCCACCUGGGGAGUACGUUCGCAAGAAUGAAACUCAAAGGAAUUGACGGGGACCCGCACAAGCGGUGGAGCAUGUGGUUUAA
rnacentral:rRNA from 1 species